rnacentral:rRNA from 1 species
CAAAGCCGCAAAUGGCUCAUUACAACAGCCACAGUUUAUUAGAUCGUACUAUCCUACUUGGAUAACUGUGGUAAUUCUAGAGCUAAUACACGCACUUAAGCUCGGACUCACGAACGAGCGCAUUUAUUAGAGCAAAACCAAACGGACUUCGGUCCGCUAAUUGGUGAAUCUGAAUAACUCUGCAGAUCGCACGGUCUCGCACCGGCGACGCAUCUUUCAAAUGUCUGCCUUAUCAACUUUCGAUGGUAGUUUACACGCCUACCAUGGUUGUAACGGGUAACGGAGAAUAAGGGUUCGACUCCGGAGAGGGAGCCUGAGAAACGGCUACCACAUCCAAGGAAGGCAGCAGGCACGCAAAUUACCCACUCCCGGCACGGGGAGGUAGUGACGAAAAAUAACGAGGCGGUUCUCUACGAGGCCCGCCAUCGGAAUGGGUACAAUUUAAAUCCUUUAACGAGGAUCUAUUGGAGGGCAAGUCUGGUGCCAGCAGCCGCGGUAAUUCCAGCUCCAAUAGCGUAUAUUAAAGUUGUUGCGGUUAAAAAGCUCGUAGUUGGAUCUGCGGUCAAGGGAAGUGGUCCUCCGACGGAUGGCUACUGCUUUUCCUGACCUAACUACUUCGGUUUUCUUUUGAUGCUCUUAACCGGGUGUCUUAAGUGACCGAAACGUUUACUUUGAAAAAAUUAGAGUGCUCAAAGCAGGCGUUCAGCCUGAAUAGUGGUGCAUGGAAUAAUAAAAAAGGAUCUCGGUCCUAUUUUGUUGGUAUUGGAUGGAGAUAAUGAUCGAUGGGGAUAGACGGGGGCAU